UACAGAGGUGGCAAGCGUUGUUCGGAAUUACUGGGCGUAAAGGGCGCGUAGGCGGUCUUGUAAGUCUUGUGUGAAAUCCCUCGGCUCAACUGAGGAACUGCACGGGAUACUGCGAGACUUGAGUUCGGGAGAGGGAAGCGGAAUUCCGGGUGUAGCGGUGAAAUGCGUAGAUAUCCGGAGGAACACCGGUGGCGAAGGCGGCUUCCUGGACCGAUUACUGACGCUGAGGCGCGAAAGCGUGGGGAGCAAACAGG
rnacentral:rRNA from 1 species